GAUGAACGCUGGCGGCGUGCCUAACACAUGCAAGUCGAGCGAGAAGCUAAUUUUCGAAGUUUUCGGAUGGAGAUGUUUAGCAGAAAGCGGCGGACGGGUGAGUAACGCGUAGGCAACCUGCCCUUUACACAGGGAUAGCCUCGGGAAACCGGGAUUAAUACCGGAUGAUACAUUUUGCAGACAUCUGUAAAAUGUCAAAGAUUUAUCGGUAAAGGAUGGGCCUGCGUCAGAUUAUGCUAGUUGGUAAGGUAACGGCUUACCAAGGCUACGAUCUGUAACCGACCUGAGAGGGUAAUCGGUCACAUUGGAACUGAGACACGGUCCAAACUCCUACGGGAGGCAGCAGUGGGGAAUAUUGCACAAUGGGGGAAACCCUGAUGCAGCAACGCCGCGUGAGCGAAGAAGGUCCUAUGGAUUGUAAAGCUCUGUCCUGAAGGAAGAAAAAAAUGACGGUACUUCAGGAGGAAGCCCCGGCUAACUACGUGCCAGCAGCCGCGGUAAUACGUAGGGGGCAAGCGUUAUCCGGAAUUAUUGGGCGUAAAGAGUUCGUAGGUGGUCUUUUAAGCGAGGGGUGAAAGGCAAUGGCUUAACCAUUGUAAGCCUCCCGAACUGGAAGACUUGAGUGCAGGAGAGGAAAGCGGAACUCCCAGUGUAGCGGUGAAAUGCGUAGAUAUUGGGAAGAACACCGGAGGCGAAGGCGGCUUUCUGGACUGUAGCUGACACUGAGGAACGAAAGCGUGGGGAGCAAACAGGAUUAGAUACCCUGGUAGUCCACGCCGUAAACGAUGAGCACUAGUUGUCGGGGCCUAUAAAGCUUCGGUGACGCAGUUAACGCAUUAAGUGCUCCGCCUGGGGAGUACGCUCGCAAGAGUAAAACUCAAAGGAAUUGACGGGGACCCGCACAAGCAGCGGAGCAUGUGGAUUAAUUCGAAGCAACGCGAAGAACCUUACCAAGGCUUGACAUCCCUCUGACAGACUUUUAAUCGAGUUUUUCUUCGGACAGAGGAGACAGGUGGUGCAUGGUUGUCGUCAGCUCGUGUCGUGAGAUGUUGGGUUAAGUCCCGCAACGAGCGCAACCCUUGUCGUUAGUUACUAACAUUAAGUUGAGGACUCUAGCGAGACUGCCGGGGAUAACUCGGAGGAAGGUGGGGAUGACGUCAAAUCAUCAUGCCCCUUAUGUCUUGGGCUUCACACGUGCUACAAUGGCCGAUACAAAGCGAAGCGAGAUCGUGAGAUGGAGCAAAUCAAUAAAAUCGGUCCCAGUUCGGAUUGUAGGCUGAAACUCGCCUACAUGAAGUUGGAGUUGCUAGUAAUCGUAGAUCAGAAUGCUACGGUGAAUGCGUUCCCGGGUCUUGUACACACCGCCCGUCACACCAUGGAAGUUGGGGGCGCCCAAAGUGGUCUAAUUAAUAAGGUCCCUAAGGCGAAAUCAAUGACUGGGGUG
rnacentral:rRNA from 1 species